rnacentral:tRNA from 1 species
UCUACCAAAGGAUAAUAGUAUUCCACU